GGGUGGGGGACAGAGAGGGAGAUGGGGGUUGGGUAGGGGGGGGAGAAGAGUGGAGGACAGAUGUUGGAGAGAAGCAGAGCAAUAUGUUGAUGAGAAUUGGGUGUUGAAAGAAUGCAGUCGAGAAAAUGAAUUGUAUUGUCACAGGAUCAUUCUUUACACUCUUGUAAGUGUGAGCGCACAUGCAGAUCUGGACUCUGUUAGCAAGACAUGUAGGCAGCUGGGAAAUGUCUUGUGCGCAGGCUGUUGAACCUUGACUCCCCUGACUCUCCCCCCCGUCCCCCCCUACAUUUGAGAAGUGGUCUGACCUCGAUCCAUCCUUCAACACAUUGGUCCAUCCCACCGGAGCAGCAGGAAAAGGGGAGCGUUCCAUUGAUCACGAGGUACCAAUCUGUUUUGUUGGUGACGCCGCAGCACUUGAACUAAGAAACAAAUAUUGCAUAUUUGUUAUUAUUUCUGUUGGUCUCUGACUCUGUCAGAUCGUUAGUUAGUUUGUCUGAAAAUGUGCCUCUAAAAAUGUGUCCCUGGAUCAGCAACUGCACAGCCCCUCAGACUCACUGAUGCUGUAUGUACAUGGAUGUACAUUUCUAGCCAAUCAAGGAGAUUUAAAGCGAUAGUGCCAGAUGUUGGCCCUUUUUCUACUUACGCAGAGUCAGAUGAACUCAUGGAUGCUAUUUUUAUGUCUCUGUCCAGUAUGAAGGAAGGUAUCUUUGCGAGCCAAUGCUAACUAAUGUUCGCACAAUGGCUGGAAGUCUACUGGAACAGCUACAGUAGCAUGCUGACUCUGGUUAAGUAAGGGCCCUUUCAAGGGUCAAUCUGCAAUUGCUACAUCCAUAUUUGGAUGGAUAUAUAUAUAUAUAUAAAAUGAAUGAUAUGUAGCCAUUGAUUCUUGAAGAAUAUAACUUAUAAAUGCCUCAUGAGCUUAGUUCAACUGUCAUACCACACCAGAACCACCCAAAAUAUAAGCUUGUUUUACUCCAAUGUUUGUAAACAAAGUAAAACAAUGGAUUGUCAGUUCCCGAGGGGUAUACUACGGAGCAGGUUGAAGGAGUUAGGAGGUAGCUUAUGUCAACUUUGAGUUCAACUAGGUAUUACCGUCAUACAAGCGUGGCUCAUCUUUUAGCCAGGCAAAUUUCUAUGGCAACGAAUCCUUCAGAACUCACGGCUAACUCCACUUACCCUGAAUGAAAUGACUUGAGCCGCGAGUUGAGGACCAGAUCCCUCCCUCUGGCAAAGAUUGCAUCAUCCCCUUCAUUUGAGGAUGUCGACUGGUUAAAUAUUUUAUUAAUCAAAUGUUUUUUGUGUAUAAAAUGUUUUGGUUAAAAUAUCAAAUUACACAUUUAGUAAUGACAGAAUGCAAUGUAAUGACAGAAUGCAACUUCACGCAAUGUAACACUUUUGUAUGACUUAAUAACUAUUGAUAGAAUAUGACUUAAUAACUAUUGAUAGGACACCAACGACUGCAAUAACGAUAAGUAAUAAAAUAACUGUACUUCUAAAAGCCUAUUUCACACUGCUGAAUUUGCAAGAUAACUUUUUUUUCAUUUUGGUUUCAGCACAAUUGAAAAUGUGGCACUGACUCGCCCAUGGAUUGACGUUUCAGCAUUGUCUUAAUGAAAAGUCUGGUGUUCGGCUAGCCAUGUGCGACAUGCAUGCGCAGUUACAAGCCUGCUAGAGUUAGCUACAGCCGGCCGAGCAAUAUCCACUGUUGUAGUAUGGAUGAAGCCUGAGCUGGAAUGUGAAGCUAACUGAAGCUGGUUAGCUUUAGAAAACUCUGAGUAGAUCUAACGUGCCUUGUAGGAUACCCCUCUGGCAUCCAUGGCUCUAUGAAUUUGAGAGUGGUUAUGUUUCUCCAGCCCAUCAUUCCGCUUUUUCCUGAAAUGGGAGAGGGAACAGGGCCGGAUUACAGGACGGGCAUUCAGGGCACAUGCCCCGGGCCCCCAACCCCCCCUCCAAAACAAUUUUAUUUUGGGGGUUUUGGGGCCCACCUGGAGGUUGGGGUCCCCCAGAUAGCAUAUGAUAGCAAAAUUUGUAGAAUUGCAGGAAAUUAAGCUGUACAACUGCACCAUUUUUUUCUGUCUCAUGGUAAAAUGUGAACAAAAUGAUGCGCUGGUUGAAUCACGCGCUGGUUGAAUCAAGCUUGUUUCCACGUUGAACCAACAUGGAAUAGAUGUUUGAAUUGAAGUCUGUGCUCAGUGGAGAGCUAUAAAACAGCAAACGUGUAGAAUUGCAGGAAGUUUGCUUUAAAACUGCAACAUUUUAUCUUAGCCUCAAGACAAAAUGUGUAGAAUAGCAUUAUAAAACUGCAAAUGUUUCUCUCUGCGCCAUGCCAAAAUGUGUUGAAAUGCAGGAAGUUAACCGAUUUCCAAAAAACAAAAACUGCGGAUUGGCCCAUUAAUGAUCACUAAGGCCAGGAUGGCCUACACCCGCAUAGCUGGGCUGCAUGCACUAGAUUAAACAUAAUAGAAUGUUAAAUUGAACAUAAACUGUGCUGUACAGGGUGGGGUUGGGUUCUGACUUCAAAAUGCACCUCUGCCUUUUAAAUACGUCAGCCAUUGCUUCAAGCCACACACCGGCACACCCACCGAACAACGCAAACGUACCUCAAUGUCUGUUCAAGAACAUGUUGGGGAAACGUGUCAUUCAGUACAAGCUGUUCCACAACGUAGCAAACAUUCAAGUGAACUGAACGCGCCCCCGGUGUUUUGGCGAUGUCGGAUGUGUAACUGCAUUAGUGCUAUCAAAUCAGUGAGCGUCUGCUCGUGUAGUUGUCACGGAGCCACACCCGUUCCACUCCCAUUAGAAGUUCAAAACGAGAAAUAAUGACACAAAUUGAAAAUCAUUUCACGAAAUAAGGAUUUCUAUCAGUCUAAAGCGACUCAGUGCAUCCCAUGGUAGUGUACGCAAUAGUCUACCGCACCAGGCUGCUUGUCAAAUUGGCUAGAUGACCAUUCUUGAUACACAUGGGAAACUUUUGAGUGUGAAAAACCCAGCAGCAUUGCAGUUCUUGACACAAACCGCUGCGCCUGGCAACUACUACCAUACCCCGUUCAAAGGCACUUAAAUAUUUUCUUGCCUCAUUCAUCCUCUGACUGGCACACAUACAAGGCUUAAAAAUCUUCCUUUAACCUGUCUCAUCCCCUUCGAUUCCCCGGGUCAGUCUAUGUCAUGGAACGAGCAGGUGUUAUUAAUGUUUUGUAUGAUCAGUAAGUCCUUACUAUCAUCGUCAGUCAGUUUAAGUGAUUUAUCACAAAAUCCACACUGAACAGACAGAAGCACCAUAUAAGGUAACAGACUAGAGAUUGGUGGGUUUCCCCUAACCCCCAUCCCCCCUCUACCAUUUUCUGCACAUUGUCCCAUGACUUCUUCAGUCCUUCGUCUGUCAAGUAAUCCUUCAUCCCCUCCUUUAACUCAUCCUGCGCUUUCGUGUCCAGCUGUGUGAGAGAGAUAGAGAUGAAGAUGAAGUGUGGGCCUUGAUAUACUUGCAGCAGAUGAGACAGAUAUAGGGGAUAAUGUAGAUGUACAGAAGGCUUCUAUAAUGUAGACUGUACUUGUAUAUACUUUUUUUUAAACACUGGUUGUUAAUUUAGUGGUAAUAUAGUGGUAAAACUUUACUAAUGACCCUCAUUUGGGGUUGUUAAACAUCAGUAGGUGAAACUGGAUCUUUAUGAGUGGCCAGGAGGUUUGUAGAUGGAUGGUAGACUGGACUCACCUCUUUGUGAAAGAUAUGGAGGACCAGGGUUAGAGUCACCUCUGUCAAGACCAGGAGCAAAAGGAUUACAAAGAAC
rnacentral:lncRNA from 1 species